rnacentral:sRNA from 1 species
AAGAGACCUUUAAGACAGUUGGUUAUUAUGCCAACUGGGUGUCCGCACUAAGUUUGGUAUCAGUAUGGUGACCUUCUGGGAACAGGGGGCCAUUGGGUUGCCUAAGGAUGGGAGAACUGGCCUAGGUCAGAAAGGAAGCAGGUCAGAAUUCCUGCACCAAUCGGUAGUGGGAGUGUGCCUGGGCAAUAUAGCAAGAUCUUGGUUCUU